rnacentral:rRNA from 1 species
GGUUGACCUCGAAUCAGGUAG